rnacentral:rRNA from 1 species
UACGAAGGGGGCUAGCGUUGCUCGGAAUCACUGGGCGUAAAGGGUGCGUAGGCGGGUCUUUAAGUCAGGGGUGAAAUCCUGGAGCUCAACUCCAGAACUGCCUUUGAUACUGAAGAUCUUGAGUUCGGGAGAGGUGAGUGGAACUGCGAGUGUAGAGGUGAAAUUGGUAGAUAUUCGCAAGAACACCAGUGGCGAAGGCGGCUCACUGGCCCGAUACUGACGCUGAGGCACGAAAGCGUGGGGAGCAAACAGG